UGCCCUAGGGCUUGGGGCUCACCCUGCUGAAGCAGCCUCAAGAGCCUUCCACAGCCAUGAAUGGAGGCUAUCAGAACCUCCCUGGGACAGUAUUUUGGGGGCUCACCACGGAGCCUGCAACCACACCUGAUCCAUUACAACAUUCGCAGAACCCAGCUCUCAGCCUUGAUGAUGCCCUCACAUCUAGCUCUGAGCCCAUGAACUUGUCCCAUGUUUGGCUCCUGAUAACACCAGAAUGUUGCUUCCAAGCCACAGUCCCCUUCUUCUGGCCACUCAAGGCCUAGUCAUCCACCACACCCCUCCCCGAGGACCCAAGCUCUCCAGGGACCACUCCGUUCCUGCCCUGACUUCUGUGGAAUAUGGACAUGCAACCUUGAUCAAUCAUCUACCUAAUGCCAUUCAGGAGAGGCAAAUCAGGAGAAGGAGCUGCGGCAGCCAGAACAGGAGUAGGGGGUAGGGGGCCCUGCAGGGCCCUGGCAGUGCCCCGUGGUUCCUUUGCUCCUGGAUCCAUCUGGUAUAUCUGGUGAGGCGAGUGUAUACGCCUGGAUUCUGAGCUUUGAUGCAGGGCUUCUUCCGUGAUAACACCCCAGCCAGAAUCCAUCUUCCAUCAACUUCACAAGCCAAUGGCCCCCCGGGAUCCUCCUAGGCAAAGACAAAGGAGGAAAUGGAGGACCUGCCGGGACCACAGGACCUUCGACACCCACCCCUCAGUUUAGCUUAAGAGAAUCACUCCUCCAGGAGCUCACUGGCUGGGGCCCCUUCGGCUUCUCAGCUGGAGACCACACUUAUGAAUUGCAGCCAAUAGCAGCAGUCCCAGAGAAAAGAGGAUGAGAACAGAGCUUGGUGCUGGUCACGGGAAAAGGGGCCAAGCCCCAGGACUCACCCUCAGAAAGAGAGUUGCAAGAAGUCCCCAGAAACUCACGUAGCACAGGUCCACUCCGUAAUUAGUGGCACAGAUCAUGCUCUUCCGGACAAGGGGGAUGACUCGUGGAUAGAAAGACUUCUCGUGGAAAUCACGGUCACACCUUCUGUUGUCUAUAAUGAACACCUCUGCCUCCCAAA